rnacentral:tRNA from 2 species
GCCCGAGUGGUGAAAUUGGUAGACACGAGGGACUUAAAAUCCCUUGACAGCGAUGUCGUGCCGGUUCGAGUCCGGCCUCGGGCA